ensembl:lncRNA
GUCUAGCUGUAUUAAAGAAAUAUGCGCCUCUUGUGCUAACGUUGCUUCUGCCUAAUGGUGAUGGGUCUCCUGGUGUCUCUGUAUGUAGCGUCCGUCUGUCCUAAUGGACAAUUACAAGCUCAAACUGUUACAGCAAAUGGCUGUGAAUUGUGGCUUCUCCAGCUCCCCAGCGUGGCCUCUGGGCUGCAAAGACACAACACUCCUUAAAAGUCUCUUGAUGUAAUAACAGCGACCAGACUCUUCUCUCCUCAUAUAUGGUGUUUCAUGAUGCUUUUCUCUCCUCUGUUUUUUCCUCCCACUACUAUCACCAUUUUGUUUACUCCCGCUUUACUGAUUGCUGCAAUCCUCUGUUGGUCAUUUUAAUUUUUUUCUCUUAAGGUCCAUUGACACUUUUCCGAUCUUGGAAACCUUGAGACCCAACCCGGCUUCCAAAGACGUGCUGAAGGUCAGCUAAAAAAAAUAAGGAUUCUGCUCCUGAUCCGUGCCAAGCUGACUCUUUGGACAUACACAACUUUAAGCCACAGGGGAGUAGAUCGAAUCUGGGGCAGUCAAAUUACUGUGUCCAUUAUCAUGUUGUGAAUAAAAUACAUUUUAUUUUACUUUCGUCAGUUCAUAACAGCUGUUGGAUCUGCCUGAGCUGUACAGCUUUAAACUCAUAAUGCGUCCCAAUACGCAUGUCGAUACACCUUUUUUUGUUCUCUAUUGUCCAAUGGAAAAUUCAGGAAUCAACUGCGCGCUAGUUUCUCUGGAAAUUAGUGUAUAAUUCACAGAUUUGCAGAAGUGGAACUGAGACUCUGCAGCACAUAGAACUAAUUGGCUGAAAUACCUUUGAGAUCCCCUUCCAAAUGUCAGUGCUUCCAGGAGAUCCUAUCCUGUUAUAGCUUCACAGAACAUGUCUUCAUGAGACAAUCGAUGUUGAAAAAUGUUCUCUCAGGACCUCUCUUCCUGAACCAUAGCUGACCACUGACAUUUGGAGCCACCCACAGCUGCCAGUUAUGACAGCUAAAGAGGAGAAACAGACAGAGGAGCGAACAACCUCUGCAAAAUGUCAGAAGAGACAGCGGUAUAAGGAGAGAUGUCCCAGGGACGUUGUCCAGCAACACAACAGAGUCAGUGGACAUGGCAUCACAGCAGGCCAGCAAUUGUGUACACCAUCCAUCCAUAAUCUGCUUAAACAUCAAAUAGAAUAUAGUAUAUUCAAAUAAUGAAAAAUGGCCACUGCAACUCCCCCCAAGACGGGGUCUUCGUAUCGUUUCUUUCGUUCAUUGGUUGACAGAAUCAAGAAUCCAGAGUAAAAGCAUUCCAAAUAGCUUUAAACUGCUUUUCUUUUCAGGCAAUGCAUGGGUUGGGCAAUAGUGGAGAGCACAGGGAGCUGACGACUAAAAUAGGUAGAUGACGGUCCAAAGGUAGGAAAUCAGUUAGGAGGUGAGGUUUGUGGAGGAAUGGAGGAGCCAGUCGUAGUCCAAGCCAAUCCCUAUGCUGAAUGUAUUGAUGACGUAUGGACAAAAUGGCGGAAUUACUCAUGAAAUAUAAACACUGGACUUGGAAAAUAUUGGGAGUUUAUCUGGGGUUUGACUGUGGAACGGCAGACUGUCGGGUUUGAUGACGUUGAGGCUCUAUCCAACUGAAUCGACUGGGUUUUGUUUUAGAAUAAACAUUUGUUCAGCUAUUCGGUUUCAGUGUUUUGACGACAGACCUCCGAGAGGCCUCACGAUGCCCACCGGACACAAAGUCCUUACAGUUCUGUUUCACAAAGAAACUGAUUUCCACCUUUGUUCCAACCGUUUCCAGAGCACUGGUCCGUGUGCCGGCGUAACCCAUAGACAGAGGCCGUGUGUGUGAACGCGUUAUCAGGAAGAGCAGCUCGACGAUAAUGUAGGCAGGCGGCCAGAAACCCCAUAAUACAAUGGGACGGACGAACAAAAUGCUCGCCCCUGCUGACACACAGAGGGGGCGCCCGGCAGCGCUGGGGGGAGAUGUUUUGUGUGCCAGAAUGGGGCUUAUGUGGGUGUGUGUGGUCCCUACUAAAUAAUACAGCAGCGGCGGUAGGCAGAAUUGUGUGUCAGCUACGCCCGCGGUAACAGUGAGCGGCCCCUGUGGUCACAGUAAGUGACCCUGACCCCCAUCUAAAAAAACAACCCCCCCAGGGCCGCACGGGAUUUAUGAGGGCGAGGGACUUAAAUGAGGGAGCUAGGAUAAUCGGUCAUUGGUACAAAUUUGCCAGCUCAUUUGGGACUCUGGGCAUUAUUACACAUACUUUAUCCACAGCAAAGACCGCAAGAACACGCACUCGCCACAUAAAUAACAAUUUUGUUCUUUACUUUCCUCUGGUCUCAUAUUUGGGACGAAGCUGCAUGCGGGUUAAAUGUGCCGUGCAGAUACCGCCAUUGUAAGAAAACACUUUUUUUUCAAAAAAACUAAACAUUAUAAAAUAAUAACAAUAUAUAGUUAAUCAGUGGAGAACAGUAUAGACAACAAACAUCAGACCAGCAACCGGAAGUUCAGAGUUGCAUGAGGGCCAGUAGUAAUUUCUCAUAACAUAAUGCUGUAAGCUGAGCAGUAAACCUCCUUGUAUUCCCUUUUAAUCCGUCAUAUGGGUAUUAUGAACACCGACCAACAAAUGUGUCACAGGCCUGCUGGUUAUGGUGAAGCCGCUGGCAGAGCACAGGCAACACUAUUAGCAGUUUGAAACCACAAAGGGAUUCUUUUAAGAAAUAAAAGAGAUUCCACAUGCUCAGCAGAAUCUAUGGAUGAAUAAUAAUUAAAUAAGUGACAGUAAACACACCAAGGAUAUACAUCACAGCAAACAAGCUAAAAAGCCUGAGCAUGUGAUGGGUUCCUGCAAUAAAAUAAGAGAGGUCAGAUGAAAUUACUGCUUACGGCAGGAAAAUGUUUACAUUUUUUAUAACACACUUAUCAUAUUGAUUACAUAAGGACUGCACCGACGAGCAUAUGGCCACACACACACACACACACACACACACACACACACACAAACACACACAUCCCAAAGGCUUACACUACUUUAAUGAGACAGCAGCACACUGAAACAUAGACAUAAAUCCAACAUGCCCAAAAAUCUUUAGCGUGUUUAAUGGAAAUUCUUCUCUUUCAGCUGUGAGUUGGUGGGCAGAGAUGGUCGUUACAAUAAGCUUCUGACACACAGCGCACCUGAGACCAUCAGUCCGCCUACCAAACCAGCUAAGACGACAAUGGUGUACAUAAAGAAGAUCUUGUAAGUUUCAGGUGAUGACAAAGCCCGGCGAAGGGCUGUUGACCGUCACAGAGAAAUGAUGACGGAUCGGCUAUGACAUAUCAGACAUAUCAGAAGAACGCAGUGAGGCUAUACGAACUGUAACACCAGGCCCCGAGGUCUUUUUCUUUCUUUUGUUCUAGAUAAACAUUUCUGCUCAGCAUUAGACCUCCUUGUUAGAGGGUCUGGAACAUCAAUUUGCAGCAUCCUGUGGGGGCCGACAUUUUGAUUUCUUCAAUUAAUUAACACCAACUGGUGCUGAAGGCAGAAAGUAGAAAGCAUCAGUCAGUAGAAUAUAAUAAUAGAAAUUACAAAACAACUACACACGCAUAUACACGUAUGACAAACCUACAAACCUACAUACACUUCAAUGAGACCAUUACUGGUUUGACAAGGAAAGACCAGUCGUCAACCUCCACAAUUUUCAUGGAGGUUGACUUUCUCCUACCAUUAUAUUAUGGGGGGGUGGGGGGGGGGGGGGUUAGGUUCAUUUUGUUUUCUAUAUUGCGCCAGAUCACAACAGAAGUCAUUUACAGUUACAUUUCCAACCUUGUUCUCCUGUUAAACAAAUCAAAUAUUUUACUUUACUUAUAUAUUUUACUUGGUUUACCCGAUGAGCACACACACACACACAGAAACGUGCACGCACACACAAGUAAGCACACUUCCCACCCGCGGACCGAAAGCGUGUCGGUAAAUGUGUUGCAUUCUCUCGACCAGCCAUCAGGAGGCGACUCCUCGGAUUGCAAAAAAACGCUGAGUUGGUCUUCUGAAUAGAAUAUUAUUAGAUUCUCACUUGAGUUUAUGGUCUCUUCAACACAACAUGAUGACCAUUUAGGAAAUGAUGGUCAAUUUAGCGUCAAAUAGACCAAAACCAAAGUAGGCUUUAAACCGGGCUUAGUGGUGGCUGUCGCUACGAAAGACCCCCAUGUCAACCAUGGAGACGGCUGUAUCCAAGAUGGAGAAAUUGCCAAACUCUAGGCUGCAAAAUUACGCCAUAAUUACUACAUCCACUUCUGAAAUACGGUCUAUUAGGACGAGUUUUUAUGUAUACGAUCAGGUUCGAUCAUAGGAGCGGUGUGCUGUGAUUUUGCACCACCUAGUGGUGAGAUUGCAGACGGACACCAACUUCGCCGCCACAAAGCCCAGUGAAGCCAAAUUGCGCUCUCUAUAGCUAGUGUUUAGUUUGUCCGUUGCGGGCUACUAGAGAAACAUGAAACAUGAAUUCAGACUCGCUCCCUACCCACAUUGAAGUGGCUUAUUGUAAACAGAAAAGUGUCUUUGUUUCAGGUGAUACACGGAAGAAGAAUAGUUCAGGUCCAAACUCAUUUUUUACAAUAUUACAUUCUCAAAGCAAAAUAAUUAUUUGCCAGCUUGAAUAUAACUUAACUUAA